GAAAUUCGCCUGGCUCAGCCUCCCAAGUAGCUGGGAUUACAGAUGAUGAUUAUUCCCCACCUUCUAAGAGACCAAAGACCAAUGAGCCACUACAGCCACCACUCUUGGAACCUGCCAAUGCUGGGCAAGGGAAAGUGAGGGAGUUCAACUCUGUUUUCAGAGAAAUGGAAUAAUCGUAUCGCUGAUCUUCGUAAACAAGUUGAAGAAUUGUCUGAAAGAAAAUGUGCUUAAGAAACAGGCUCAGAGAAUGUUAUUUGAUUGGACUGUGUUGCAUCUCUGGACACUGCAGCUGAGAUCAGACUUUGUGUGUAACUCCACUAGCCUACCAGGGUGCCUCUCAUAAAGGUAAGAAAUGUAAAUUUGGCCUAAUAUACGAAGUUGCCACAGCAGCACUGGGUCAGUUCUACAUACACUACUUCUAUGUUCAUCAAGGGAAACCUUACAGGAAAGUGAAAAUGUUUCUAGAAGGUGAUUGGACACCAGCACAUUUGCUUGUUGCCUUUGGUCUCUUCUUCUAAGGCCAACAGUGACCUGAAAUUAUUGACUGACUAUUCCAGUCAACUGGAGAAAAUGGUACCAAGGUCGCCAACAUCAGAGAAAUUCACUUGAGGACCUAUCUAUGUACUUUGAAAGACAAAACUGCUUGUGAAGGAUACUGUAUUUCAGAAAAACAGAAUCAUAUUAACAACUAAUAACACUGUAAAAUGCUGAUGUGUUGAAUGCUACUUUAGAAAAACAUGUUCAAAUCUAGGAAAAAAAUUUCCAACAGAAAACUACGUAUCAGUUAUCUAGCUAGCUAUCUAGAGACAUGGUCUCAUUCUGUUGCUUGGGAUGGAGAGCAGUGGGAUGAUCAUAGCUCACUGCAGCCUUGAG